UCCCUGGUGGUCCAGUGGCUAAGACUCUGUACUCCCAAUACAGGGUGCCCAGGUUCGAUCCCUGGUAGGGUAA
rnacentral:tRNA from 1 species